rnacentral:rRNA from 1 species
GUCCACAUGAAAGGGUUAUGUGGUCUGGCCUGCUCACUGAAUUUUUGUUUUAAAGAGCCGCAGUAUUUUGACUGUGCAAAGGUAGCAUAAUAAUUAGGUUUUUAAUUGGAACCUUGUAUGAAGGGUUAAACAAAAGAAUUUCUGUCUUUUUUUUAAAAAUUGAAUUUAACUUUUAAGUGAAAAGGCUUAAAUUUUUUAAGGGGACGAUAAGACCCUAUAAAGUUUUAUAAUAAAAUAAAUCUUUUAAAAAAUAAAAUUAUAAAUUCAAGAUUUGUUUUUUUAUUCUGUUGGGGCGACACGGAUAUAAAUUUAAUUAACUGUCAGAGAAAAAAACAUAUAUUUAUGAAAAAUUGAAAUGGUCCUAAAUAUAGAUUAUAAGAUAAAGUUACUUUAGGGAUAACAGCGUAAUUUUUUUCAAGAGUUCUUAUCGAAAAAAAAGUUUGCGACCUCGAUGUUGAAUUAAAAAUGUCUUUACAGUGUAGCCGUUGUAUAAAGAAGGUCUGUUCGACCUUUAAAUUUUUACAUGAUUUGAGUUCAAACCGGUGUAAG